rnacentral:lncRNA from 1 species
CUCUUUUCAACUAAUGUAUGAUAUAGUGACCGGGAUUCUCCAGGUUUCAGAAUCAUCCCCAGCUCCCUCCCAGAUGGCUGCUAAUGAGGGGAACCUGUGUAUGAAGAACUUCAGAAAAUCUAUAGUUCUUUCUUCCUGAUCCCUCCCAGCUUUCUGUCAAGUUCCAGCUCCUCUAGGAAACAUUCCCUGAUUCCUCCUGCUGUCCUCUGGUUUGAUCAGGCGUGGCCUAGGAAGUCCUCCCAUGCUCCCAGGGCUGGGGUGCUGAGGGCCGCACAGCUGUACCCAGCAAAAACACUACUGAGAAUGAAGGCAGGGAACGUCAACGAAC